CUUCUUUUUAAAAAACAAAGAUGCACGGAAGCAUCACAAGCAACUGGUGCUGUCCAAAAAACGUGUAUUUACGUUUCAGAGGAAUAUGGACUUGGCAGUGAAUAUUGGUGUGUAUUUAUGGAGAGAUGUGUGUCUGGGAGAGAAAACUUAAAAUAAAAGGAAAAUGGUUUCUUGUUUUUUUGUUUUCAGUAGCAAGUGUGCUGCAUCUUGUCUGAGAAAGAUAAUAACUGGCGUAAGCAGUUUCCCGUUGAUUGAAACGGUUUCCGCACAUUUCCCCCACAGUGCUGUGGUAUAUGCUCUCACCCUUCUUGUUCCCGUCUGUCAGUGUGGGUCCCUUCCUGUCCAGGAGACACAGGCGAGGGGGCACCGUAGCAAAGUUAGGUCUCGGGAUCCAAGCACUGAGGAUAGUUCGAGCCACGGGAAUCCCAGAAGGGUGAAGCACAUCUGGUGCAGAUGAAAUCCCUUAUUUAUGAAGUCUGUCCGUUUCCUUCUGGGAGCUAAUUUGGAAAAUAAUUCUGUCCUCUGACUAGCAGAUCAUAUUUACUUUCCACACUAAAGAUGACCUCACGCAGACCUACCCACUCUGUUUCCAGAAGAACUUCACAUGGGACCCCAACGCAUUGACCUGUACCCACGUGGACUUGAAUGUGAGCUUUGCUGCUGGCAUGUUUGGGGGUCUUCUUGCAUCAUGCCUCCCUUUUCCGUCUGUCCUAACCAUUCCCACACAUACCCACUGCCUGAAUGGUAAUAUCUUCUCCUUGGAACUA